CUUAUUCUCAAAUUUGGUAGGGUUAGCUGGUCAUUUGGAACCAGCAGGGAAAGCAAGGUCAAUGACUCCAGGUAUUUGUUCUUGUCUCUGCCAUCAACCUGCUUGGUGUCCUUGGGUGAGACCCUUCAGACCAGGAUCUUCAUUUACAAAGUGAGAAUGGAUCGACAUAGCCCUGCUUGUAUAUUAUGUGACUCAGGAGCAGAGAAAGAAAAGUAACUAUUGUCAAUAGGAGUAACGCUGGAUUGGACAACUCCCGUCUUACUUCCUGAGGAGCAGCACUGUAGUAGCCAAGCAACCUGAAGGAUUUGAUAUAACAGCAGGAGUUUCCGGGCAAAGCCAAUGUCUGGGCCAGUGUUUGCAACCUGGAUAACAGCAUUGUUUUAGCAAUCAGAGAAUGGAAGCUGGGGAUAAAGUUUGAGUGAGGCUCGGGGAGACAAAACCAGCAUUCAUCUACAGCACAUGAAAAUGAAUUGGCCCAUCAGCUUUCAACUGAAUAUAGUAGCACUGUGUCUUGCUACAUACAGUCUAAUCUCUCCAUAACUGCCACUGACCUUCAUUUGGAAGCAUUUUUAACUGUAAAAUGUUUGAAGCAAAGGAUAUAAAGAAGGAAUAUCAUCGAGAGCACAAUUUGCAGUAGCUCAUUACGGAUAAGUCUGCUACGAUUCCCUGCCUCCUUCCAAUUUUUUAAAUGAUCUAAAACUGAGAAGCCAGAAGAUUCACAGUGUUUUGGCAAAAUCAAUUUUGAGAAAGUCACGUAGAGAUAUAUUCUGAUAAAAAUCAUAGAACAGUUUAAACAUAAAGAAUGAAACUGAUGGAUUAGUAAUGCUUUAUCUCACAACUAGUGGUGGGUAAAUUGGUGGUUGGUGGUUGUCAUAUCUAUUUUGGUGGAGUAGUUUUUAUCUAAUAUUCAAUAGUUAAAAAGAUGUGUAUAUAUACAUAUAUGAAUUUCCUUUGGGGAAUUUGGGGUUGGGGUAUAUAUAUCCACAAAAGAUAUACAAGGUGUACACACCCCAGCCUCACACUCCCCAAAGGAACUUCACCAUCAACUUUGAAAUCUCUGCAUGCUCCUUCCCAUUCGGAGCUUCCCAUUGCCCUGAGUUUUCUGGUUAGCAUUUCAUUGCUUUUAUUUGUAUCUUCUCGCAUAUGUUUACAUCCCUUAAUAAGAUAUUGCUUAGUUUUAUAUAUUUUUGAGCUUUGUGAGACUGGAAUCAUAGUUUCCUGUUCUUGUUCAGUUUGUUCUCUUCAUUUAACACCAUGCCCUUGAGAUUCAUUCUUGUUAUUGCGUGUACUGGCAAUUCAUUAAUUUUCACUAAUGAGAUAUAUACAUAUAUAUGUAUAUAUUUAUACCACAAUUGGUUUAUUUAUUCUGCUGGUGGUGGACAUGUGGGUUACAUCUACUUCUGUUUGUUUUUUCUUUUCUAUUAUCAGAGUGCUUCUGUGAACAUUCUUGUAUCUGUGUACAAAAAUUUCUUUAGGGUACUCCAAUAGGAGGGGAAUUUAUAGGUAAUGGAAUAUGCUCAUCUUCAAUUUUAUUAGAUAAAUGUCUGUAUUUUCUAUAGCAGUUGUAGUAAUCCAAGCCCUAUCUCCUUGUUAAAUAUAUACUGUUGACAUUUAAACUUGC
ensembl:lncRNA